AAACGCUUGAAGUCAGUCGCGCCGUUCAGGACUCAGCCUUGCUUUGCUUGGUGUACUUCCUGUUUGGUGGGUCAGCAUCAAUUUUGGUCGGUGGAUAAAAGCUUUAGGAAUGUGGCUCUUCGGAGUGUUAUAGC
rnacentral:rRNA from 1 species